rnacentral:rRNA from 1 species
UAGGGAAUCUUCCACAAUGGGCGCAAGCCUGAUGGAGCAACGCCGCGUGUGUGAUGAAGGCUUUCGGGUCGUAAAGCACUGUUGUAUGGGAAGAAAUGCUAAAAUAGGGAAUGAUUUUAGUUUGACGGUACCAUACCAGAAAGGGACGGCUAAAUACGUGCCAGCAGCCGCGGUAAUACGUAUGUCCCGAGCGUUAUCCGGAUUUAUUGGGCGUAAAGCGAGCGCAGACGGUUGAUUAAGUCUGAUGUGAAAGCCCGGAGCUCAACUCCGGAAUGGCAUUGGAAACUGGUUAACUUGAGUGUUGUAGAGGUAAGUGGAACUCCAUGUGUAGCGGUGGAAUGCGUAGAUAUAUGGAAGAACACCAGUGGCGAAGGCGGCUUACUGGACAACAACUGACGUUGAGGCUCGAAAGUGUGGGUAGCAAACAGGAUUAGAUACCCUGGUAGUCCACACUGUAAACGAUGAAUACUAGGUGUUAGGAGGUUUCCGCCUCUUAGUGCCGAAGCUAACGCAUUAAGUAUUCCGCCUGGGGAGUACGACCGCAAGGUUG